rnacentral:rRNA from 1 species
UACGGAGGGUGCAAGCGUUAUCCGGAUUUACUGGGUUUAAAGGGUGUGUAGGCGGACUUUUAAGUCAGGGGUGAAAUCCCGAGGCUCAACCUCGGAACUGCCUUUGAUACUAUUGGUCUUGAAUGUUGUUGAGGUGGGCGGAACGGGUCAUGUAGCGGUGAAAUGCAUAGAUAUGAUACAGAACACCAAUUGCGAAAGCAGCUUACUAUGCUAUUAUUGACGCUGAGGCACGAAAGCGUGGGGAUCAAACAGG